CCACGUUUGCAGCAUUGAGGAGCCUGGCCCCUCCCCUUCCUGUGUGGAACUUGGAAUUCGAACGGCAGGCGGGAAGUGCUCUAGCAGGGGAGUCUGACCUUGUGAGGGAAUACCUGUGUCCCCCCUUUUUUCCCCUUUUUACCCAAUAAAACCCUGCCUUACUCACCCUUUAAAUCAUCUGCGCGCCUCAAUUUUCAUGGCCGUGGGACGGACAAGAACUUUGUCUUCAGCUGAACUAAGAAAAAGUCCUGCAACAUUUUUGGCGCGCAAUGUGGGGGCACCAGAAGCGAAAGAACACCCCCUCUUAAACAUGGAGAUCGUUAUAUAGAAUGUCCAAGGCAAAUUAAGGAAAAUAAUUAUUGUAGCUGAUGAAGCAGAAACCCUAUUAGAGCUAAAUGCUACUUCACAGUACUCAGUGGUGGAGGUUCUGAAGGCACCGUUGAGCUGUUGCAACUGUUCUGCUGCUAUAGUUCCUGUGGCCUCCUUUGCACUCCUGUUUCAAUCUGAGGACACACAGACCCACCCGGGAACCACACCCUGGAUGCUACCUGCUGCCUGUACUCCAAAGUGGGGAGAGAACUUUAGAUUUGGG
ensembl:lincRNA